rnacentral:rRNA from 1 species
UACGUAGGUGGCAAGCGUUGUCCGGAUUUACUGGGCGUAAAGGGAGUGUAGGUGGAUGUUUAAGUCAGAUGUGAAAUACCCAGGCUCAACCUGGGAACUGCAUUUGAAACUGGACGUCUAGAGUGCAGGAGAGGAAAGCGGAAUUCCUAGUGUAGCGGUGAAAUGCGUAGAUAUUAGGAAGAACACCAGUGGCGAAGGCGGCUUUCUGGACUGUAACUGACACUGAGGCUCGAAAGCGUGGGGAGCAAACAGG